AUUACUUUGGCAGAUUAGUGUAAUUGAUUUAGAAUCUUUGAAUGUAUUUUACAAGUAAUA
rnacentral:tRNA from 1 species